rnacentral:rRNA from 1 species
GACGAACGCUGGCGGCGUGCUUAACACAUGCAAGUCGAACGCUGAAGCUCAGCUUUUGUUGGGUGGAUGAGUGGCGAACGGGUGAGUAACACGUGAGUAACCUGCCCUCUUCUUUGGGAUAACGCCCGGAAACGGGUGCUAAUACUGGAUAUUCACUGAUCUUCGCAUGGGGGUUGGUGGAAAGGUUUGUUCUGGUGGGGGAUGGGCUCGCGGCCUAUCAGCUUGUUGGUGGGGUGAUGGCCUACCAAGGCUUUGACGGGUAGCCGGCCUGAGAGGGUGACCGGUCACAUUGGGACUGAGAUACGGCCCAGACUCCUACGGGAGGCAGCAGUGGGGAAUAUUGCACAAUGGGCGAAAGCCUGAUGCAGCGACGCCGCGUGAGGGAUGGAGGCCUUCGGGUUGUAAACCUCUUUCGCUCAUGGUCAAGCCGCAACUGUGGGUUGUG